rnacentral:rRNA from 1 species
AUUGAACGCUGGCGGCAGGCCUAACACAUGCAAGUCGAGCGAGCGGCGGACGGGUGAGUAAUGUCUGGGAAUCUGCCCGAUAGAUGGGGAUAACUACUGGAAACGGUAUCUAAUACCGCAUACUAUCGGAUGUACCCAUAUGGGAUUAGCUAGUAGGUGGGGUAAAGUCUCACCUAGGCGACGAUCCCUAGCUGGUAUGAGAGGAUGACCAGCAACACGGGGACUGAGACACGGCCCAGACUCCUACGGGAGGCAGCAGUGGGGAAUAUUGCACAAUGGGCGCAAGCCUGAUGCAGCCAUGCCGCGUGUAUGAAGAAGGCCUUCGGGUUGUAAAGUACUUUCAGCGGGGAGGCGUUACCCGCAGAAGAAGCACCGGCUAACUCCGUGCCAGCAGCCGCGGUAAUAC